rnacentral:tRNA from 1 species
GGAGGAGUAGCGAAGUAGCUAAACGCGACGGACUGUAAAUCCGUUCCUUAGGGUUCAGUGGUUCGAAUCCACUCUCCUCCA